rnacentral:tRNA from 1 species
GGUUGUGGUUCAGUGGUAGAAGGCUUGCCUGGCACGUGUGAGGCACUGGGUUGGAUCCGCAGCACCA